UUUAAACGGCCGCGGUAUCCUAACCGUGCAAAGGUAGCGUAAUCACUUGUCUUUUAAAUAAGGACUAGUAUGAACGGCUAAAUGAGGAAAGAUCUGUCUCCCCUAAUAAACCAGUGAAACUGAUCUUCAAGUACAAAAGCUUGAAUUAAAACAUAAGACGAGAAGACCCUGUGGAGCUUAAAAUCUACACUACAACCAAAAUAAACAUAGUAUUCUGAUUUUGAGUUGGGGCGACUUCGGAACAAAACAAAACUUCCGAGCAUGGGAUCAAACCUCCCUACUAAGACCAACAAGUCAAAGAAACACUGAUCCAGUCCUACUGAUUAACGAACCAAGUUACCCCAGGGAUAACAGCGCCAUCUUCUUCAAGAGUCCAUAUCGACAAGAAGGUUUACGACCUCGAUGUUGGAUCAGGACACCCAAAUGGUGUAGCAGCUAUUAAAGGUUCGUUUGUUCAACGAUUAACAGUCCU
rnacentral:rRNA from 1 species